rnacentral:lncRNA from 1 species
AAAUAUGAAAUAUUAUAAGCGGUGAGAACCAUGCUAAAACAACUUAACAUAGUAGCCAUGUAAAAAAAAGUUAGUGAUGCAGAAAAUGUAAAAAAGAGGCAUCUUUAUAGCAAGUAUACCAUGGACCUUGCACAUUUGACGAAUCUGUAAGCCCAAAGUUACAAAAUCAAUAGUGAGCAUGAAAACUAAAUAACUAUAGUCUUGAUUCUUUUCAUGAAUAUCAAAGUAAAGCAACCUUCUCGAUUCACAUAUGGACUCGGCAGCAUAGAAUCAUUUCAACCACAAAUUGAAAAUCUUAGUUUUCAAUAGAAAUGCAUACAACUGCAAAUUAACUUUCAAAAAUCAAUAUUCGACCUAAAUUUCACACAAGUCAGAAGCCAAAAAUCUAGAAAGAAGAAAAACGAAAGAAAAUCGGGAUAUUUUCACGAUUAGGGAAAGAGAGAAAAAGAGACCUGAGGACGGUGGAGAGAAGAAGUUCCGUGAAUGAUUGAGGAGAGCAGGGUGAAAACCAUUAGCGGAAAAGCAAUGUGUAGAGGUCCUCUCCACGGCGACGGCGGCGGCGGCGGCGGCGGCGGCGGCGGAGGAGGAGGAGAGUAUGGUGUUGUUAUCGGUGAUGGAAGACGAUCGAGCAGCUAAACGACGUAGUAAAAUCAGUCUCAUCAUCCCUCUCAUCUCGUCUUCCCCAAAAUUGCACCAAGGGCUUUGGAUUUCAAUUUGGCAGGAAUCGGAAACCUACAAAAGGAAACUUAGAUUUGCACCAAAAUCAAAUAAAAUUGGGGGCCCGCCUGUUAACGGGCUUUGGGCUUUUCAUCUCGUCGGCCAAGCCCGCACAUAUAAUAGAGGCACUCAAACAUCUUCCGCUUCUUUUCUAACUCAGCAAAUUAUCAAUUUUUUCUUACUCAAUACUUUUUGGGAAUUAGAUAAAAGUCCCACUAAAUUGCGUAUUUAGAUGGACGAUUAAAGUAGCAUUUUAAAAGUAAAAAAAUAAUUAUUGACAUAAAAAUUAUAAUAACAAAAUGUAUUGCAUUAUUAUAAUAAAAUACAAUAGAACCUCGAUAAAUUAAUACCAUCGUUUAAAUAAUAGUUUUUUCCGUUCCCAACUCCGUAAAAACCUACUAAAUUAUUAGUUCGAUAAUUUAAUAUUUCACUAAAUUAAUAGAAUUUUGCUCGUCCAGACUCUAUUAAUUUAUAAAUGUUUAAUUGUAUAUUAGUAAUAUUUAAAUUACAAUAUUUAUACAAACAUGAUAAUACAAAUCCACUACGCAAAAGGUUAUAAAAAUUUAAUUGUGUCCGCAAGGGAUGACUUAGCGUUUGGAGCAAGUGGUAUUGUGUCAAUUGACCCAAGUUCAAGUCCCAUUGUCAAUGGUCGCUAGGUCGAAUUUGUCACACAUGGUUAGCCUAGUGUGAUUUACGUCUUUCGUAUUGUUCGCUAGGUCGAGUUUUUUUUCUUUUUGAAAAUUAUUAGAAUAUUUGGAAAAAUUUGAGUAUCCUGAAUUUUUUUCAAUAAAUAUAUUUUGAAAUAUUGAAAAUAUAAAUUCAAUUUUUUUCGAAUUUAUAUAAAAUUAAAUUUGGAAAUAAUAUAUUUACAUGUGAUGUGGUAAACGUUUAAGUGAGUGUACAAAUGUUAAAUAUGAAAGAACUUAAAUACGUACAUAGAUCCUAUGGACAACUAAUCAAAAUAACAUACUAAAUUAAAAUAACAACUAAUCAAUUGUGGAAUCCACCUCAUCAAUUUAAUGACAACUAAGCAAUUUUGAUAAAUGACAUAGACAUUUGCGACAUGUCAUUCAUAUAGGGCAUAGAUCCUCUUUUUAUAUUAUGUAUAGAUUUUAUAGGGAAAUUUAUCUUAUCUUAACUAAUUUAUCUUAGCAACUAAACGAGCCCUAAGUAUUAUGGGGAAAUGAGGGAUAACCCCCUAGUUUUGAAAAUAUAUAGGGAUAGGUCCUAUGGAUUUUUCUUUCCUAGUCAAAAAUCCAAAUUAUAAUCUAAAUUUGAUAGACCCCCCUAGACAAAUUGAAAUACCAAUUUUGCCCUUUUAUUUACAAUUUAAAACCCUAACCCUCUCACCAACUCUCGUUAAUUUCUCUCUCCCUUCUCCCAGCUGUUUUCUCUUCUCUCUCCCUCCUCCCACGUUUUCUCUCUCAAAUUUUUUGUUCUCUUCUCUCUCUCACCUCCCACCGUCGCUUCUCCGCUUCCCCGCCUUCUCCGUCGCUCCGCCUCUCCGCUGCUCCGCCGUGCUCCGUCGUGCUCCUCCGCCGCUCCGCCGUACUCCUCCGUGCUCCGCCGUGCUCCGUCGUGCUCCUCCGUGCUCCGCCGUGCUCCAUCGUGCUCCGCUGCUCCGCACCGACUCCACUGCUCCGUCACCCCCUUGUGCCGUUGCUCCGCCAAAGUCUUGCGCCACGGCCUUGUGCCGGCCGUCGUUGCACCUCCCACCGCCUUGAACUCGGUACUAAACCAUUCACUUCACCUUUUUAAGUUAUUUUUUUUUAAUUUAUGAAUGCCAAUCCAUUUUUAAUUUAUUUUUUAAGAUCUGAAUUCUUAUCACUAUUUCACCUUAUUUUAUUGUUUUUUUUAUGAAAACCCACUGAAUUCGAAAAUUUUAAAUUGUGAUCUGACGAUGUGUAGUCAGAUCUAAUGGUGAAUUUCAGAUCUGGAAUUGGUGGUGUUCGAUUUGCAUAUAUUUACUGCAUUUAUAUAAAAAAAAUAAAAACCAUAUCUACUAUGUUUUUGAAGAUCUGUGAACAAUUAAUAUUAAAAUAUUUUUCUUUGGAUUAAUUUGAUUUUUUUAUUAUAAAUCAUAUGUAAUUUAUUUUUUGUAUUUAUUUGAAGAUAAUUCGAAAUGCCUAAAGUGUGAGAGCUUUGUUUGUCUGUAAUGAAAAAAAUUUAACUAGUAGUGGUUACUUACAUGGGUGAUUUGAGUCAGGUGAAUAUACAAUUAUAUUUAGUCAUACACAGUCAUGUAUAGUCAGUCACAUGUAGUCAUGUAUAGUCAUGGCUACAUAUAACUAUACAUGACUAUAGGACUUGUAGUAUAAUAUAGUCAUUUGUAGUCGAUUUCAGUUCAGUAAAUUUAUCAACAAAAAAAAUCAUGUUUUUUUUGUUUUUUUCAUGUAAUUUGAAUUUUUUUUUAAUUAUAACUCAUAUGUAAUUUAUUUUUUGUAUAUAUUUGAAGAUGAUUCGAAAUGCCUAAUGUGUGAGAGCUUUGUUUGUUUGUAAUAGAAAUUUAACCAGUAGUGGUUACUUACAUGGGUGAUUUGAGUCAGGUGAAUAUACAGUUAUAUUUAGUCAUGUACACUCAUAUGUACGUAGUCAUGUAUAGUUAUGGCUACAUAUAACUAUACAUGACUACAGGACUUGUAGUAUACUAUAGUCAUUUGUAGUCGAUUUCAGUUGAGUAAAUUUAUCAACAAAAAAAAAAAAUCAUGUUUUUUUUUUUCUGUAUUUUUCAUGUAAUCUAACUCGCAUGUUCCAUUUUGCUAUUUAACUCGUAUUUUUUAUUUGUCGCAGGUUUUGCUUUUAUUAUAAUUUUAUGACAUGGAGAAAACAAGAUUCGAUAAAGUGUCUUUGUGAAGUUGGAUUUAUGUUACAGUAGUCUAGACUUUAUGUCACUAUAUAUAACUAUAGAUAAUUGUAAAUAACUAUAGUCACUUGUAGUAACAUAUUGUUAUAUGUAUGCUAUAGGUUUUUAAUGUACAUUAAUACUUGUUCAUGUUUGAAGAAUAUAUGCAUGUGAUUGUAUUUUUUCAUUUUUUUGUUUGUUAGUUGAUUUAUAUUAUCAGAUAAAUUGUGAAUUUUUUUUUGUUGGUGUAUAUGAAUUUUGGGGUAAAAAGAUAGUAUAUGACUACAUAUAAUUAUACAUGACUACUGAACUAGUAGUACACUAUAGUCACGUGUAGUAUACUUUUAGUUCAGUAAUUUUACCAAAAUUUCAAUUAAUAAAAAAAAUAAUAAUAAAAAAAAAAUAAAAAAAAAUUAAUAAAACUCUAAAUAUUAAAAAAAUAUAUUUUAUAAACAAAUAAAAUAAUAAUAAAAACAGGUACAAUAUAUAUAUAUAGAGGAAUAAAAAAUUAUUAAAUUAAAAAUUAUGAUAUAUGCAGUACAAACAUACUAAAUGCAUGUCCAAAAUGAUAAGUGCAGUUGGUGAAAAUGUUGAAAGUAGUUGGGCGAAAAUUACAAAUAUAUUAUUGGUUAUAUAAGUAAAUGGCUAAAUGCAUAUGAAAUGAUUUGUAUGGACAUCCCCUAACGGUAUACGGAAGAUCAGCCAUCCAUCAAAACGUACAAAAAUAUACACACACACAACACACACAUACUUCAACACUGAAUAUGGGUUCCAGAUUCGCUGGAAAAGGGAAAAAAGAGAAAAUGUCAACAAAACAAAGUCUUUGCGUUUCCUUCUCUGUUAAUCUUUUUUGAGUGUGAUUGUGCAUGGGGCCAUAUUCCAUUUUCCCCAAUUUCUUACAUGCUUUCAUUUAAUUUGGUUUCAUUUUGAGGUGACGUAAUAAAUGAAUAUAUAUCAGGUUUGUGAAUUCAUAUAAUUAAUUGACAGUUGAAAUAUGAAUCAAUGUUUUGAUUAUGAUCAUGAUGCCAGUUUCCGUCACAAUUUUCCCUAAAUCAAGCAUCUGUUAUUUUUUUUAUCUGCAGCAAAAUUAAUCUUGUAAAGCUCGCGAGGAGAAUUAGAGUUGUUGAAUUACAGGGACUAGUAACGAGACACAGGUAUAGCAAGGCUUCGUGUUUUGCCAUAAUGUAUGUAUGUAUGUAUGUAUGUAUGUAUGUACGUAGAUGUUUAUUUAAAUUUCAUAUCUACUUUGCCAAAAUUCAUAUAUAUAUAUUUGCAUAAUGUUAUGAACCAGCUCCAACAGAUGAAGAUAUAAUAUCAGCAAUGCUUGAUGAGCUUUGUUUCAUCUUCCCUGUAGUUUUCCACUUCCAUAUGAUCUAGCUGCUUAUAGACGAUCAUUAAAUUAAGGAAGGAGAAAACGUUACCUGUCGUUACAGUAAGACUGAUAUAUAAAUAUUCACUUAUUUCGUUUGCUCAACUAUUAUUGCAUUUGCAUCCAUCUUUUAUUUCUUUUGUUUUCGUGACCCAAAAAAUGCAGACCUAGAAAAGAACAAAAAGGAAAUGGCAAUAGUGUUGAAAGAGAAAGACGAUCUUAAUCAAGAGAUAUCAAAUAUCAGAUCUCAACUUAAAGCUGAAGCUCAACCUCAACAACUACACCUCAAUCAUAUAUCCAAAGAGUCUCUAAGUUUACUAAUCGCGGAGUCAACAAAUAGAGUUAAUGAACUUGAGGAUAGGUUAAAACUAACUCUAAGCUUACAAACAGAGUCUACGAAUAAAGUGAAGGAGCUCGAAGAUAGGUUAAAAGAGUCUGUCAUCUUGCAAACCGAGUCGGCAAAUAGAGUUAAGGAACUUGAAGAUAGGUUAAAAGAGGUUGAAAUCUUGCAAGCAGAGUCAACAAAUAGAGUGAGGCAGGUUGAGGCAUCCCUUGAAUCGAAAUCUGAAUGGUGGAAUAAGAAAGAAAAUUUUUACCAUACAUUCACCGAAUUUCAGCUCGGUGCACUACGUGUAAUGCUUCUCUCUCUACAAUCUUUAUCAUUAUGUAUCCAUUUAUUUGGAUUAAGUGAUUUCAAUCGUAUUGUUCAUAUAUUUCAUUUCAGGAACUAAAAUUUGCAUCUCAGUCGAUACACCAAGAAAUUGUGAAAACAAAGAAAAGCUAUUCAGAUGAAUCCACUACUUUAGGUAAUUCUAGUUUUUUUUUUAUCCUUCUAUGAAAUUUAUAUUAAUAUAAACUAAUCGCUGUAACAGGGUCAAGGAUCAAGGCUCUAGAUGAUGCAGCGAAUAACUAUUAUUCAAUUCUUGCUGAAGAUCGAAAGUUGCACAAUGAACUGCAAGAGUUAAAAGGUGACGUACACAUUAUAGUUGAACAUAAAAUAGAACACACACACACUAAAUUGGUGUAUUUCCUUACGUGUUCAUUUGAAUAGGAAAUAUUAGGGUGUGUUGCCGGAUAAGGCCAUUUCUACCAGGGCAAAAAAGGAAACAUUCGAUUUUUGAGUACAUUGGAGACAAUGGUGACCUAAUAGUUUCGGAUCCAUUCAAACGAGGCAAAGAAGGAUUCCGCUCCUUCAAAUUCGAUAAAGUCUAUAGCCCAGAAGCAACACAAGGUUAUUUUAUUUUUAACUUCAAGUAAAAAAAACUAUCUAUCUAUAUAUGUUAUUUCGAUUAACAUAAAUUUCGAAUUAUCUGCAGCUGAAGUGUUUUCAGACACACAACCAUUAGUACAAUCCGUUUUGGAUGGAUACAACGUAUGUAUAUUUGCGUAUGGUCAGACUGGUUCAGGGAAAACCUACACCAUGGUAUGAAACUAACUAUAAUUAGGUUUGUUGUUAUUUCAACUUAUAUUAUUUAUUGUUGGUUAAGUGAAUGAAAUCCUUUUCUCUCCAGAGUGGUCCUGAUGGAGCAACAGAAGAAGAAUGGGGGGUUAAUUUUCGGGCUUUAAACAAUUUUUUCCGUAUUUCACAGAGUAGGGAGAGCAACUUUACAUAUGAAAUUUCCGUCCAGAUAGUGGAAAUAUAUAACGAACAAGUCCGUGAUUUGCUCGGAAAAAACGACGGUUCAGCAAAACGAUAUCCUCUUUUUAAAAUUAUUAUGUUUCCAAUCUCAUAUUUUUUGACACUAAAUUUUGAUCCAUUAUUGGUUAUUACAUACAUGUUGCAUCAAAAAUACUUGUUAUCCCUGACUUGCACACACUCGGGAUUUUGUCAACGUCGCAACCCAAUGGUUUGGCAGUGCCAGAUGCUAGCAUUCAUGUGGUAAAAUCAACCUCAGCUGUUUUGGAACUUAUGGAUAUUGGACUAAAUAAUAGAGCCAAAAGUUCGACUGCCAUGAAUGAAAGAAGUAGUAGAUCACACAGGUAUUUCUAUAAUUAUUGUUUUUCAAGAUUCUUGUUUUAUUAUGCAAUCGAUGCAUAUGUAUAUAAUUAGUGGCGUAUGGAUGAAUACAGUAUUGUGUCAAUUCAUGCGCGGGGGCUGGAUCUAAAGAGUGGUUCUUCUCUACGAGGCAGUCUUCAUUUAGUAGAUCUUGCUGGAAGUGAAAGAAUUGACCGUUCGGAAGUAACUGGAGACAGACUUAAAGAGGCACAGCAUAUAAACAAAUCAUUAUCCGCACUUGGUGAUGUCAUCUUUGCUUUGGCACAAAAGAAUUCUCACGUUCCUUAUCGUAACAGCAAGCUCACUCAAGUCCUACAGAGCUCCUUAGGUAUUAUAAUUGGUGGUUUUUUUUUUUUUUUUUAAUUCUUUUGAUACGAGUUAUUUAAAUAUAUUGAAUAUUGGUUAUGCAAUGAGUAAUGAAAAAGUGGUUGAUUAUCAGAUGGUCAGGCAAAGAUAGUUAUGUUUGUGCAGCUGAAUCCAGAUGCUAGUUCGUAUAAUGAAACCUUACAUACACUAAAGUUUGCUGAAAGGGUAUCUAGUACUGUUGAGUUGGCAAAGAUGUUCGUGAGUUGAUGGAACAGGUAACACAACAUUAUACCAUUUUUUUUUGUUCGCCAUCUUCUUCUACUUCUUUUUCUUCUUACUCAUGACGGAGGCGGUGAUUGAUUUCUUGAUUUUGGUGGAUUUGGGAUAAUCUUCGUUAGGCUUGAUGUCCAUGCCGGAAUUUUUGACUUUCUUGAGGAAGUAGGUGUUUCAAUGAUUCUUGUUCUCAUUUUCCAUGCAACCUGGCAUUUUACCGGUGAUCACUGACCAUCGAUUGCCCAAAAACCUAUACAACCGUUACAAUUGAACCCUGUUCAUCUUCACUUAUACUGUGUGGAGGUGGUGUAAUGAAUUUGAAGGGUGUUUCAGACAUUUACCCUCCAAACAUAUAGUAUUCCUACGAAUCAACUCAAGAAAACAUUGGAUUUUUUAUUACUAGUAAUUUGACCCGUACGAUGCAUGGGUCUGAAUAGAAUUAUUGCAAAAUCAAUAUCAAUUCAAAUCAUAAAAUUGAGAUUUUAGAAUUAAAAAAAAAAAAAAAAAAACCUCCAUCUACAGAUGUUUGGUCUUCAAAAUAAAAACUAGACGAAACAUCUCUUGUUCUUACUGUUUUUUUCAUAAAAUUAACAUUUGGGCACGAAAUUGUAAUACGUCUAUGGGGAUUGCCAUUAAUGCAACAAUGAUAUAUUUCUCAAAUAUCACUCGAUAAGGAAAAAAAUCUUUAGUGGUCGGCAAAAUAUACAUUGGCAGCGUCAAUAUGAGCAUCACUAAUAAGAAGGUAAAUUCAUCAUCGAGCAAUGGUCACGAAAGACCCAUCUCCUGUUACGAAAACAAUAUAUACAUUCCGUGAAUAUCACCAGGGAUCCCUUAGGUCUCUCAGAGACAACAAAACGGAGUAUUGAUAUCAAAAGAAUAUAUACUCGUAGAUGCUCGUAGUAGGUAUUAUUAUAGGUUUGAAAAGUGGGAAAAAUAUAAAUAGUAUAUUUCUAUUGGAAAAAUUGUUAAGAAAAAUAAGAAUUUCCAAGUGAAAAUUCUCAAACAAACACAAUCUGAGUUUUAUGUAUAGUAUAAAACUGUACAUUGAUUUUGGAAAAAGAAACAAACAUGACCUAAAUUACCUCAAUAACCGCGUCACUUCUCAAUUUAACAUUAAUUUUCUCACGAUUAGGCCUAAUUCUUGUAGAUGUAAUUUAUUCUACAAACACUUGGUGUAAUAGGAUUUACUCUCCAAAUAUCACAAUUACGAGAAGUAGGAUUAUUACAUGUUCUUCAUGAAUGAAAAUAUGUGUAUAGCAUUUUAUAAUAAUGUAUUAAUAGUAGCUUAGUUUAGAGCAUUUAUGACCGGUUUCACUAUCUUUUCGCCAAAUCCCAUUUUUUGUGGUGAAAAAAUGGGUACAUCUCCUAUCGGUAGCACACCAUUUUACCCUUUCACCAUUUUUUGUGGAAAAAUGGUGUUUUUGGUCUCCAAUGAAUUUCACCGAAAUUUAGAUCAAAUAUUAAAAUAAUAAUAUUUCACCAUUUCACUACUUAUAGGAAAUGGAUUAGGUUUGGUCUCCCCCAUAACAUUUCACUAUAUAUGCCCCAAAACUGUAAAUUUAAUAUUUAUCGUAAUUUUAGUAUAUUUUAUUUGCUAAAUAUUAAUUAUAGAUCCAAUUUUAAGUAAUAAAUUUUUUAACUAUAUAAUUUAAAAAUUAUGUUAUUAAUUUUACAAAAUUAUAUAAACAUUAAAUAAUAAGAACUCAAACUAUUUUACAUAUAAUAACUCAUACAUAAACAAUAAUCUCAUAAAUUAUGGCCAAGGGAUGGGGGCGAGGGAUUUCGCCUUUCCUAUGUGCUAAUUUACUCAUAUGCUAAUUAAAUCGGUAAUCAGGUGCAAUUAGUUACAAUCAUCAUCUAUAUGCUAAUUAAUAAAAUGGUGUUAAUUACACCAAAUCCUAUUUUCAUCUCUAUAUUUGGUAGUAAAAAUAGGAUUUGGUGGAAAAAAUAGGAAAAUGGUGGAUGGGUGGGAGAUGAAAAUUCCUUCAUUAAAAAAUUUAGUGAAAAAUAGGAUUUGGGUAUUUGGUGAUAUGGAGGUUAACCACGGUUGGAGGCUAAAAUCAAAUCUCUAAAAUUUUAGAUUUAAUGGUGAUAUAAGAAUUUUGGGUGGGAAGCUAAAAACAUCUAAAUUAGAUGAAAAAAUGGCGAUAUAGUGACCGGUCGGAGAUGCUCAUCAAAUCGAAUUAUUAAAACACAAUAAUGCCUUUAAAUUAUCGGCAACUUGUUGAGAAAUAUGUUCAACGGAUAUUAUUAUCUCAUCUUCUUCAUCAUAUCCUGCAACAAAUAUCACGCACGCGCCUAAAAAAAAAGGGAUAGUCAAUUAAAGUUAAAACAUUCCAUGAGAAAAGAUAUCAAGCUUUGCACUGAUGGCUAAUGAAGACAUACUUUUGUGGCCAAUAUAGAAAACUUAUAAUAAAAUAAGUUUGCUAUUCCAAGAGAUAAGUGCAAUUUCGUUAACGGCAAAGAAAAAUAGAGUACCGUACACAUUGUGUGUUAGAGUAUUUUCCAUGCAUGUCUAGUUAUUUAAUCCAAGUUCAGAAAUAUGAAGCAAAACAGAUUUCCAAAAUCUGUCAGACAACUUAAAAUAAAAUCUCUCACUGCAUCUUGACUUUUGUCAUACAAUGAUGUAAUACAAUGCAAAAAGUGUAAGCCUUACAUAUCAUAUGUUGUGAAAAAUAGAAAACUUGAUGGAAAGAUGUUAAAAUACUUUAAAUAAAUCAGAUACAAAUAUUUAAUCAAUUUGAGAAACAUAAAUAGAGUAUAAAUUCACACAGAUUCAAAACAUAAUUUGGUUUUUGAGAAAGUUGUCAAACGAAGAUUUCUUGCAAAAGAUGUCUAACUAUUUAAAUUGAUCCUACAAUUUCAUUCAAGAAAGUCAAAUAUUUAGGCGAAAAAUUGAUCCUAGACUGCUAACUCAUUACUUUACCAAAUAACGAAGAGAUAACAAUUGAGGCUACAAAAAUAUUCGAGGGAUAUAUAACCCAAAGGAGAACUCGAGCCCAAAAAACAUGCACUUUAUUUUAGAAAGAACAUAAAAAUAAUAUAACGAGGAAAUUUUAUAUUCGAUCAAUAUCAGGAAUGAUGAAGCCAGAGACCACCACUGCGAACCAAUCAUAUUGAAAGGAGUUCAAGUUAAGGCAAAAACAAAAGAGAUACCAACACUGCACUGCAACAAAUAUAUUAAAAACAUUUUGUUCUCCCAAGAAAAUCAAUAUGCGGAAGAGAAACCGAUUGACAAAGAGAGGGUUAUGAUUGCGUGAACGUAAUAUUGUUAUGAUAUAAACAAAAAUGGAGACAUCUACAAUAUAGUUUACUCUGAUCGAACUUCACAUCCAAACAAAUAAUAUAAAAAAACAUCAAGAAAUAUACCUCUUGUCAAGAUUGUUGUUCAUUGCAUAAAUGUGACGGCCCAUCGAUGAUGUUGAGAGUUUCGACAUUGAUGACGACGCGGGAAGUGGCGGUGAAGACACAGCCACGACCAUCUUCUUCCACCGCUCCACGAACAAAUGAUUCAUUUGCUUAUUAUGCGACUGAUUUGAAAAAAACCUAGAUUUAAUUAGCAUUUUUAACCAAUUAUUAAAUUGUAAGAGAUAUCUACACUUCCCAUAAAUCGCUAAUCUUUGGUAAAUCUGCUAAUUUCAGCAGCCCAAAAAAAUGAAAAAAACAUAGUUUGCUAGUAUUAGUAUUAGUACUAGUAAUAAUAUCGACAUUACUAUCAGUAUUAAUAUUAGUAUGAGUAUCAAUAUCAGUAUGAGUAUCAAAGUGGCGGACCCAGGGGGGUUUUCUUGGGGGGCUGAAAUAUAGGGGUAAUUUAAGAAAGGAAUUUUUUUUUUUGUUUUUAGGACUAAAGUGUACAAAAUUAAAAGUUUGGGGGGGGGGGGGGGGCGAAAGUCCAGUAAUUAAUACAUAAAUCCCCAAAAAAAAAAAAAAAAAAAAAAAAACAGCUUAAAUUUUUUUUCUUGGGGGGGCGGGGGCCACCCACCCACAAGGUUGGGUACGCCCCCGAGUAUCAAUAUCAAUAUUACUAUCCAUAUCAUUAUUAGCAUUAGUAUUAGCAUUAAUAUUAAUGUAUUAGUAUUAGUAUCAGUAUCAGUAUGCAUCAACAUCUACAUCAACAUCAACAUGCGCAUAAGUAUCAAUAUCAGUAUUAGUACUGAGUACUGGUAUGAGUGUGAGUAUGAUUAUGAGUACGAAUAUCAGUAUCAGUAUCAAUAAUAAUAUCAGUAAUAGCAAUAUUAAUAUUAAUAGUAAUAGUAUUAGUAUUAGUAUCACAAUCAGUAUCAAUAAUAUCAGUAUAUGGAUCAGUAUCAGUAAUAGUAAUAUUAAUAGUAAUAGUAAUAAUAUUAGUAUCACAAUCAGUAUUAAUACUAUUAUUAAUAUGAGUAUCACUAUCAUUAUCAAUAAUAGUAUUAGUAUGAGUAUCGCUAUCAGUAUCAAUAAUAAUAUUUAAUAAUAUUAGUAUCACUAUAAGUAUUAGUAAUAAUACUUAUAAUAGUAAGAAUAUAAGUAUCAGUACUAGUACUUGUACUACUACUAGUAUUAAUGUUUAUAUUGUCAUUAAUGACGUCACUUUAUCUAUAGUCUAUAGUCUAUAGUAUAUUAUUAUUUUUUUUUUACUUAUAAAAGAAGGAAUCCUAUGGUGGUUUCUUCCCUUUUACGUAGAGACAAAAAUACCCUUUGAUAAAUUCAAACUUUGAAGGACAAUUGAGUAAUAUAAACUGAUUGUUAAUUAUUAUAAAUUAAUAUUAUCUUGUGAUAUUAAAUAAUUAUAUUAUUAACUAUUGUCAAAUAUAGUCUGGAUAAGUUUAAACUAAUAAGGUCAAUUUAUGUAACAAAAAAUCUAGAUGCACGUACAAUAGAAUUACCAAAAACAAUAAUACCAACAGAACAUUUUAAUAUUAGUUUUAAUUAUCUUAACAUAUAUAGUUAUCUAAAAUAUUAUUAAAAAAUCUCUUCAUUUAAUUAGUUAGUAUCAAAUUUCUUCUAGUUGAAUAAUUUUUAUCACUCUCCGAAUUUUGAGUAGCUAUAUUAACUAAUAUCUAUGUUUACUAAUAAAAAAAUAGUUUAUAAAAUUCAUACUUUUAUCAAUGCCAAUCAAUAAUUACUAUAAUAUGUAAGAUUAGAAGUACGAGUAAUAUAAAUAAAUAAUUAAUUAGUUUUGUUUAUUUAUAAAAAUAAGGGUUAAUCUCAAAAAGGCCCAUGAUAAGGGCAUUUAAUUAAAAGAGGGACAUCCAACUUUUUUGUCUUUCAAAUAAAUCCAGCUCGUCCAAACUUAUUUGCAAAUAAGGAAAAACCCUUUAUAUAUACUAAAAUUACCCUCAAUUCAUUGAAACCCAAUUCAACUCUAAUUUCAUGAUUUACACCUUAAUUUAGCCCAAUUUCACCAACUAACCAAUUUUAACCAUAAUUUCAAUUUUGACCAGCCACCACCGGAGACCGCCGGUCAGCCGUCGUUGACCGCCGGUCUCCGGCGUUGACUUUUUUUUUUUUUUUAAACUUUUUUUUUCUCAAUUGUUUUUCCGGUAGGUCAACCGCCGUUCACUGCCGAGUUUCCAGCGCUGACCUUUUUUUUUAUAAUUUUUUUUCUUAAAAAAAUAUAUUAAUUAAUAUUACUAUCUUGGCUGCUAAAUUACUAUCUCUAGCAGUUAUUUAACUGUCGGAGACAGUACUUUAACUGUUAAUUGACUUUUUUUUUCUUAAUUUUUUUUUAAUUAAUAUUACUGUCUUGGCUGCUAAAGUACUGUCUCUAGCAGUUAUUUAACUGUCGGAGAAAGUAAUUUAACUGUUAAUUGACUUUGUUUUUUCUUAAAAAAAUAUUUUAAUUAAUAUUACUGUCUUAAUUAUUGUCUCAAACAGUUAAUUAACUGUCGGAGACAGUAAUUUAACUGUUAAUUGACCUUUUUUUUUUCUUAAAAAAUAUAUUUUAAUUAAUAUUACUGUCUUCGUUGCUACUGUCUCCAGCAGUUAUUUAACUGUCGGCGACAGUAAUUAACUAUUAAUUGACUUUUUUUUUAUUUUUUUUUUUGAAAUUUUGUUUUUUCUUAAAAAAGAAUAUUUUAAUUAAUAUUAUUGUCGUGGCUGCUACUGUCUCAGACAGUAAUAUUACUAUUUGGGACACUAAUAUUAGUAAUAUUACUGUUCGGAAAUAUAAUAUUCAUAAUAUUACUGUCCCAAACAGUAAUAUUACUGCCUGAGACAAUAAUUUAGCAGCCAAGACAGUAAUAUUAAUUAAAAUAAUCUUUUCUAAGAAAAAACAAAAUUUAAAAAAAAAAGAAAAGGUUGUCAACGUCGGAAUCUGGCCGGAAAAAAAAAAUUCAGAAAAAAAAAAUAUUUUGUCAAAAAAUUAUUAUUUGGGGUUAAUAUGAUAUAUUUGUUUAGAUCCGAGGUCACGGUAUAAUAUUAAGGAAGUUAGAGCAUAAUGGAUGGAAUUGAUAAGAAUUAUAUUAUGGAGGGUAUUUUAGACUAAAGACAUGUGGAUGUGUUUAUUUGAAAGACUGUUUUUUUGUGGACCAAUGUGCAUUUAAGUCCCUUGUGAUGGACCUUUUAGUCAUUCGCCCUAAAAAUAAAUUGUAAUCUUUCAUUGAAUAAAUUUUCCAUAAUUCAGGAAUACUCAAUUAUUAUUGAAGAAAAACUAUCUGAUUCCUAAUGAUUGUUCAACUAAUUCCUAAUGUAUUUAUUAAUAUUUAAUUAAUAACAACUUUAUUGAGAUGGAAAUUUGUAUGGUCUUAAGUCUUUAGUGUACAUUCAUAAUACCCCAAACAAUUUUUGUUUGGCGGCCGUUAUAUGCAAGCCCAUUUUUUUAUUAGUUCAAGACCUCUAACAUGAAAAUACUAAUUUACCCUUAAUGAAAUUCAAAAGUAAAUAAAAAACACAAAAUAUUAAAAAAAUAAAAAAUAUAUUUCCUUUGUGCAAGACCAAAUAAAAUACAUAACCCUAGAAAUCUCCUUUCAUUAUUUCACGACUUAAAAAUCUCCUCCUUCUUUUUCACAAAGCCACCAAGAAAUCCUACACGUCGAAAUUAUCAAAUACACAUUUUGAAAUGAAAAAUCGGUGCUAGAGAAACCCUACACGUCGAAAUUAUCAAAUACACAUUUUCAAACACAAAAUAUCAAAAACAGACAUAUAACGGUGCUAGAGAACCGAUUUUGAAAUGAAAAAUCGGUUCUAGAAAACCGAUUUCUCUUUGCAAAAUCGGUUCUCUAGCACCGAUAUUUUUCUGUUUUUCCAAAAUUAAAAUAAAAAAGUUGUAAAUCGGUACAGGAAAACAAAAUUUUAUCAAGAAUCUAUGUUCGAUUGAUGUUAUCGUAUGUACAAACAAAAGUUUCAUAAGAGGGCCUUACUUGUUGGUGGUGGUGGUGAUGGUGCGGUGGAGAUGGUUUGGUGGUGGUGAUGGUGCGGUGGUGGUGGCUUGCUGAUCGUCGCCGGCUGUCUGGUGGUGGUCGUGCGGCAGUCUUGGGCGGUGGUCGUGCGGUGGUCUUCUGCGGUAGACGUGCGGCGGUCUUCUGCCAAGGUCGUGCGGCCGUUUUGUUUUUACGUAUUCUUUUUUUUUUUAAUUUCUUUUGAGUUUUUUAUUUUUUGGUUUUGUACAAAUAAAAAAGUAGGGUUAAUUUGUAUUUAGGUAUUAUUUAAGGAUAAGGGUAUAUUCGUCCUCUUUGGUCUUGCUAUAAUAAAAUUAAAUUAAUUUAUGGGUUUGAACUAAUAAAUCUCUUAAUAUGGGUUUGAACUAAUAAAAAAAUGGGCUUGCAUAUAACGGCCGCCUUUUUGUUUAAAUAAAACCACAUAAAAGACAAAAUAAUAUAUAUUUUUGCAAUCUAUUUUAUGCACUACGCAUACAAAAAAUAAGGUUAUCAUAAUCCACCAAGGCACCACCACCUACAACCAUAAAAAAUGUGGAGAAUCAGACAGGAACCACCGGCAGCUACAUAACAUCUUAUACCGAUUUUUCAAGCGAUAGCUCUUCGCAUUUUGCGGUUUCAAUAACGGCCAGCGAUGCCGAUUUACACGGUGACGGGAAUGAAUUUAAUAAUUAUUAGACAAAUUACGAGAAAACUUCUGAGGUAAGGUCUAAAUACAAAAAUCCCCCUCAUAUUUGCGCGAUUACAAAAAACCUCUGAGGUCGUCUUACACAGUCUCCCUACGGUGUUACUUUAAAUGGAAUCUUUUUUUAUUCCAUGGAAUAUUCAUCUGAAAAGGUCAUUUUGGCCCUGUUGGGUAAUUGUAAGCAUAUAAAUUAUUUAGGAGGCAAAAUGUAAUAUAUUUAAAAAAACAAAAAAUAAAAAAAAACCGUAGUUACUUUUAAUUUUAAAAUUGUAAUUGAUUUCUUAAGUUUAUAAUUAUUAAAAAUAGAAAAUAUAUAUAAAAGAAUUAAGCAUAUCUCAUAACAUUAAAAGUUUUUAUUUGUUUUGUAUUUGAUUUGUUUAUAAUUUUAUAAUUGUUUGUUCAAUAAAAUCGAUUUCAUUCGGAAAGAUAUUCACGUAUUUGUUAUUUUAGGUUAAAAAUAUUUUCAUUAUUUUUAAUAAAUUUCUAAUAAUAUUUCAAUUUUAAACAAAUAAAAUGCAAAAAGUUAUAUAAAUAUAAAUAAGUUAUAAAAAAAUAUUAUUUUAUUCGUCGAAAGUAGCAUCAUAGAGUUGUGGCAUGUGUAAGACGACAACAUACCUUUGGGGGUUUUCGCACUUAAGCAACUAUGGGGGGACUUUAUUAAUUAAACAUUACCUCUGAGGGUUUCUCGUAAUUUAUCAUUUAUUACUUUUCAAAUAACAUAAGGGUAAAACGGAAAAGAUACAUUUUCUGGGAAUUUAAUCGGUCAAACGCUUGUCAGAAGGCGAUUUUUGUAAUUACACAAAUAUGAGGGUUUUUUUUAAUUAGGCUUUACCUCAUGAGGGCUUUCAUAAUUUGCCCUAAUUAUUAUAAAGUAUACAUGUAAUACUUAUUUAUUAAUUAUUUUUUAUUUUACCUUUUUAAGUUGGCUUCUAUUUGUUAUAUAUUCAUUUCUUAGGUGACUGAUUUGACUUCAAAUUUUCUAGAUCACAUAAGUAUGUGUUAACAACAACAUAUAUAAUGACACCUGAGACUGGACUCAAAUUGUAAAUUUGGACACAGGUUCUCGAGAUUUCAAUACUUACAAUUUUCAUCGAUAAAUUUGGUAAGUUUCCUUUAUAUUGUUUCAUCAAUAAUUGAGGAUUUUUUUGAUUAAUUUUGGAAGGUUUAGUUCCAGUUAGCACCCUCGAGAUGUACCAUUUUGACACUUUACAUCGCUACAAAAAAAAAAUAAUAUCACGAUCACCCUGACAUAUUUUAAGGUUAAUGAAGACAAUUUCAUGUUUUAGUAGCAUUUGUAAAUCAAAAUUUUCUUUUAUGUGAUAAAUAUAUAAUUCUAAAAUAUAAUUCUGAUAAAUAAAUUACAAUUUUUUUGUAUAUGUACCACUUUUUCGGAAUUGGUAAAAAAAUGAUGAUUUUUUUUGUAUGAAACGAUAUUUUUUAUGUAGUUUGGUGAAAAAAUAUAUAGUUGAAUGAUGGAAAAGUAAUAAAUAAAUUAAUAUUUUUUACACAGAAAAUAAAUAUUUUUGUAUGAGUGUAGUCAUCGAUGGUAUUUUGAUCUUUGCAAUAGUAUAUAUUUUUGUGGUGGAAAGUGUCAAGUUCAACUUUUUUAGUUCUUCUCCCCACCAUUCAACCAUUUUCUCACUAAAUUACUUAAAAAUUUCCGCAAAUUAUACGUUUUUUUCUUUUUGCUAAAACAAUUGGCGUGCAAUGUGAAUGAUUAGUUGCCUUUUGAGAGUGCAAAGUGCUAUUAAUAUUUUUCGGGAGUGCAAAGUGCCGAAUGGCUAUAUUUGGAAUGCCAAGUGGAAUAAUUAAGUCAUUUCGAAAAGAGAAAAAAUGAAAUGAAGUUGUAAAAUCAUCACAAAAUUUCAAUUAUUUUGGCUAACAUAUUUAGGGUUUAGGGUUAACAUAUACAUCAUUGCAAAUAUUGUUAAUUUACUCAUUUUCUUGUGUUACAAUUUCAAUUUUGUGUUUCUCGGUUAUGAAUAUGAUCACAUGCGUUGGGAAUAGAUGUUUCGUUGUGUUACAUUAUAUUACAAAAAAUUGUAUAAAAAUUAAUCACGUCAGUGAAAAGCGCAAUGAUAUUGAUGACGCACAAAAAACUGUUAUUUCGCUCACUCGAAAUUAAGCAAGAAAAAGGAAAGGAAAAAAAAAAUUUCAGGGAAAUGGAUCAAUGAAAUCCAUGUUCUUGCAAACUUUUGAGAAUUUGUCUUGCUUACUAUGUGAAUGAGAAGUCUUCUGGACCUAUAAAUCAGGAAAAUCAGUGUAUUUGAGUUGCUGAUAUUAUCUUCANNNNNNNNNNNNNNNNNNNNNNNNNNNNNNNNNNNNNNNNNNNNNNNNNNNNNNNNNNNNNNNNNNNNNNNNNNNNNNNNNNNNNNNNNNNNNNNNNNNNAAGGUCCAAACCCGGAAUCUUGCACAAAGCUUCAUAUACCUUUGUUCGCUUCUCGGAAGCAUCAAACUCAAACCCAAUACGUUUUGCAAUCUCCCCAAGCCUUGAAUCAGUUUGUGAACAAAACAUUUGAACUGCAUCUACGAAUUUAACAUUAUCAGGGUUUGCUACCUUUCUUUUUUUUGAUGGAUUUUGUUUUCCAGAUGCACUCCCUUGCUCUUGACAGACGGACAUAAAUUCAUUAUCGGAUCCAUUAUUUUCAUUUGCGUUGUCAAAUCCAUUUCCAUUCGCAUCGUCAUCAAAUACCGGCAAAUAAUCAUUACCUGCAUUGUUACAAUCUUCCGCAUGCUCCCCAGUGGCUCUAUCCUUUCCAAAAAUUUCAGUCCACGCCGGGUAAAAUGGAAAAGAUUUAAACCUCAUUGUACGUGCAUUAGGAUCAGUCUGCAUAUUAUAAGCAAAUUAAAUUUCAGUUAUAUCAAACCUAAAUUUUAAUUAAAUUUUAGAUGGAAAUUACCUUUACAAUUUUUUCCCAAACAUCGUCCUCUACUGAUAUCAUUUGAGAUGUGUCAUUCCAACCAAAUCCACUACGAGACAUCAUAGUUUGCAAAGUUCCAUGAGUCCUUUUCCAAACAUGGAUCUUUGAAUUGAUAUGUGGGUCGGCACGUAGGUCGGAUCCAGGAAAUGUUUGUAGCAUAAAUUUUUCUAAAAUACCCAAAUAGCCGGUACGAAAUCCGUUGGGCAUUUCCACCCGUCGGAAAUGAUAUCCUUUAAAGCAGCUAUCAAUGCUUCUUCCUCACGCAUUGACCAAAUGCGACGACUUUUGUCUGAUUUUUUUCCAGCUCUACUACACCCACUCUUGCUACUUCCUUGAGUAUCCAUUGAUCCCUGUAAUGACAACAUGAACAAAAUAUAUGUCUGAUGUUGAUUAAAAUUAAAAUUUACAACAAAUAUGCAAGACAAACUAAACGAUUGCUAAUACAAAAUAAUUGUUUGAAGAAUUUCAAAUACAAACACAAUGUCUGAAUAAUGUCUAAUACAACAAAUACAAUCGCACAUAUUUUUGACACAACCAUCUUCACUAUAUAAAACAAUUGUUACAAUCUAUUAUCGCCUUCUCCAUUGAUUGUACAUAGAUGUAGCUAGGUUGUCUCUCCACCCACUCCACUGCGGAGUAGACUCAACAACGCCAAUGUAGUCAAUCGGGUCAAUGGGUUCUUGUUCGAGAUCUGGAACUUCAUGUUCAAUAGGGUCUAUUGGCAUUUCAGUUCGAAUAUAAUUGUGAAGUAAUGCACAAGCCAUAAUGAUACGAUUAUGAGUUUUGAUGGGAUAAUGAGAUGAAGUUCGCAAUAUUCCCCACCGUGACUUUAAUAAGCCAAAUGAGCGCUCUAUCACAUUACGGGCUCUUGAAUGCUUCAUGUUAAAAAAUUCUUCUUUAUUCCGGGGUCUAGACUUUCCUUCACCCCACUCAUCCAAGUGGUAUCUAACGGAUCUAUAAGGGCUUAAGAAUCCUUCUCCAUUUGUGUAUCCAUUAUCAACCAAAUAGUAACUACCUGUAAUAUAUAUAACAUCUAUAUAUUAGUUUUUAUUGUCUAUGAAGAGAUAUUUUUUUAAAAUUUAGAAUUAUCCGGUAUUAGCGAACAAAUAACUUACCCUUCGGAAUACGCAAACCAUUUUCUUUAGUAAUUGCAUCUCGCAAAACUCUACUAUCUGCAGCACUUCCCUCCCAACCACUUAAGAUGUAAAUAAACUUCAUGUUUGAAUCACACACUCCUAAAAUAUUUACGGUAAUAUCUCCUUUCCUAUUACGAUAGCGACCUUUAUCUGUUACCGAGACCCUCACCUUGAUGUACGUACCAUCUAGAGCACCUAAACAACCCUAUAAAAAUCCAUUAAUGAAACAUAAAAUUGUUAGUUAUAAUGCCUAGUAUGAUUACAUAGCACAAACUACCAAAUAUUCGUUACCUUAAAUAGUUUCCAUCUUUCAUUUGUGCAAUGCUCAUCUACGGGCUCCGGGCGGCCAAGAAAUAGAGGGUGUAGUUUAAUGACGGCAUUCAAAACAUUGUUGAAAUAUUUGCUAACCGUACGACCUGACCUUUCAUAUUCAUGACCAACAAUACGGUUCUUCGUAUGAUGAGCAAGAAUAUGAAGAAACAUAGCAACUUGUUCACUAAUGCUGAUAUUUCUAUUACAAUGAAGGUCUCCUGUAUUUUCUAGAAUAUGGCACAAACGGCCAAAUGCAUCUCUACUCAUUCUUAAGUUAUUGAUACAAGAUAUAUCAUUAAUAUCAAUAAUACGACUCAAUUUUCUAACUUGAUCUGGAACUCUUGACACUCUAUUGUAUCUAAUACGCUCAUAUUGAGAUGAUUCACGGGUUUUUUCUUCACUUAUAUAUUCAAAACAAAUGGUAAAGAAUAUGACACACUCAAAAAUAAUUUCUUGCAAACAAAGUAGAACCUCAUCCUCGGAACUCGAGACAUCCAUCCUAAAUACGACACAUUGGUCAAUUAUUCACAAUUUUUUGUAUAAAAAAUAUGACAGGUUUUGAGUAUUUCAAAUAUUUCAACAAUACUUAUUCACGGCAGAUUUACAAUAUUAAAUUGAGCAAUUUGCCCAUACAAAUCAUAAAAUCCACAAACAAAACAAAAUAUAUGGUGGGCAAAGAAGAUCUAUAAAAUUUCUGGAAAAAAAUCAUAUUUUUCUACAACAAGUGUAACUAGCGAUUUACGGAAAAAAAAAUUAUAUCAUACCUACUUGAUUUGAAGAACGGUGACGAUUUUUUGCCUCAAAAUCCAGUUUUCUUGUUCUUUUUACUUUUCAAUCCCUGAUAAUAUAAUUUUUUUAGCUCCUCUGUCUUUUUGCUUUUGGUAGAUAUGUUAUUGAAAAAAAAAAAUUUGGUUUCCCUCUCUGUACUUCCCUCCCAUUUCUUUCCUUUUUGGCAGGUGAAAAUUUUAGGUUUUGCUGAAAAGUGAGGGCAUAAGAGUAAAAGGACAUUAAUACCAAGGAGGAGUAUUACACAUCCCACCCCUUAGCUGGUAUGGGAGAUCCUUGGAUGAGGGUCAAAUACUGCCGGGCUGCUCAUCAAUAUUGGGCCUCUAGUAUUAGAAUAAUGUAAAGUAAACAUGUCACUGGGCUGUACUAAAAUAAUAUAUAUAGGCUAAUAUAUUGAAGUAAACGAGGCCCUAGUAUAUAUGUUUACUCCGGGAAUGUAUUGAUAUGGAGGAGAAGAUGCUGGUACAUGGAAAACAAAAGCCUCGAUUCUAUUUUGUUCAGUAAGUUACCUAAUUUGCAAUAUUAAUUGCAAUACAGCUGGAAUUUGGUUUGUAUAAGAGUUCGAUGCUCGAUUGGCAAAUGCGAUUCAACAUCAUAUGCGGGAUUGCAAGAGGGCUUCUUUCCCAAAUUACGACAAAUUACCAAUCAGUAUUCCUCAUUCCCAGAUCAAAACAUUGUUAGGCAAAACUGAUGUACCCUGCACUGGAUUUCCCCCAGUUCCGAAUUGAGAUACAACUUUAGCAACAAACUCUCAUAUCCAGAAGAACAGUAUAAAAAAAAGUGUGCAUGUUGACUAAGAAUGAAUUGUAAUUAUCAAUCAAGGCAGUAGAUAUAGCAACAGAACUACAUUACAUGGUUAAGGAACUUGUAAACAUAACAUCUUCAUUUUAGUUCCAACACUCAAAACCAAGAGAACAAAAUCCAGAACCAAAUUCCUCUUCUGGAACAAUUUUUAGGAUGUCGAACAUACAUCAUCGCCACAUCAAGAUUGUAAAUGAACCAGUGAUUCUGGACCGUUUUCAUAAAACAGUGUCAAAAAAAAAAAAAAGAGGGAGAGAGAGAGGGACUAACGUAAAGUGCAAGAAAUCAGUCCAUAACCACUACUGCCCCUACAGCUUUCAUCUUCUCAAUAAUUUUCUCGGCUUCUUCCUUAGAAACUCCCUUCUUAAGAACAGAAGGAGUUUUCUCCACCAAAUCCUUAGCUUCCUUUAAUCCCAAAUCUGUAAAACUCCGUAUCUCUUUAAUGACCUUGAGCUUUGAAGCUGCAUCAUAAGACUCUAUCUUGAGCUCAAAGGCCGUCUUUUCGGGCUUCUUUUCUUCCUUAGCUGCAGCUGCUCCAGUAUUCAUGGCCACUCCAGCAGCACCUGGCUUCAUUACACCAACAACAGGCAUCUCCUUCAUACCUAAUUUCCUCAUCAUUAUAGUAGAAAGCUCAGCAGUUUCAACGAGCGUGAGUCCAGAUAUUUCAUCGACGAGACUCCAUACCCUAUCGGUUGGGGGACUACGAUGCUCCGUAGGGUCAAAGUUUGCGGGAUCAUAAUCAGCUGGGAGCCUUCUUUGGUCAAUCUCUACUUCUUCAUCUUCAUCCUCCGACUUUGCCGCUUGACCAAAGUGUCUGAUUGACUUAACGGAAAAAGGUGUGAAAGAUUCAUCUACACCACCAAAUAUGAAAUAUUAUAAGCGGUGAGAACCAUGCUAAAACAACUUAACAUAGUAGCCAUGUAAAAAAAAGUUAGUGAUGCAGAAAAUGUAAAAAAGAGGCAUCUUUAUAGCAAGUAUACCAUGGACCUUGCACAUUUGACGAAUCUGUAAGCCCAAAGUUACAAAAUCAAUAGUGAGCAUGAAAACUAAAUAACUAUAGUCUUGAUUCUUUUCAUGAAUAUCAAAGUAAAGCAACCUUCUCGAUUCACAUAUGGACUCGGCAGCAUAGAAUCAUUUCAACCACAAAUUGAAAAUCUUAGUUUUCAAUAGAAAUGCAUACAACUGCUAAUUAACUUUCAAAAAUCAAUAUUCGACCUAAAUUUCACACAAGUCAGAAGCCAAAAAUCUAGAAAGAAGAAAAACGAAAGAAAAUCGGGAUAUUUUCACGAUUAGGGAAAGAGAGAAAAAGAGACCUGAGGACGGUGGAGAGAAGAAGUUCCGUGAAUGAUUGAGGAGAGCAGGGUGAAAACCAUUAGCGGAAAAGCAAUGUGUAGAGGUCCUCUCCACGGCGACGGCGGCGGCGGCGGCGGCGGCGGCGGAGGAGGAGGAGAGUAUGGUGUUGUUAUCGGUGAUGGAAGACGAUCGAGCAGCUAAACGACGUAGUAAAAUCAGUCUCAUCAUCCCUCUCAUCUCGUCUUC